rnacentral:rRNA from 1 species
AACGAACGCUGGCGGCAGGCCUAACACAUGCAAGUCGAGCGAAGCCUUCGGGCUUAGCGGCGGACGGGUGAGUAACGCGUGGGAACGUGCCCUUUGGUACGGAAUAGCCCCGGGAAACUGGGAGUAAUACCGUAUGUGCCCUUCGGGGGAAAGAUUUAUCGCCAAAGGAUCGGCCCGCGUUGGAUUAGGUAGUUGGUGGGGUAACGGCCUACCAAGCCGACGAUCCAUAGCUGGUUUGAGAGGAUGAUCAGCCACACUGGGACUGAGACACGGCCCAGACUACUACGGGAGGCAGCAGUGGGGAAUCUUAGACAAUGGGGGAAACCCUGAUCUAGCCAUGCCGCGUGAUCGAUGAAGGCCUUAGGGUUGUAAAGAUCUUUCAGUGGGGAAGAUAAUGACUGUACCCACAGAAGAAGCCCCGGCUAACUCCGUGCCAGCCGCCGCAGUAACAC